UUUUGUACCCCGGUGAACUUAAGCAUAUCAAUAAGCGGAGGAAAAGAAACCAACAGGGAUUGCCUUUAGUAACGGCGAGUGAAGCGGCAUCAGCUCAAAUUUGAAAUCUGGCUCUUUCAGGGUCCGAGUUGUAAUUUGCAGAGGGCGCUUUGGCGUUGGCAGCGGUCCAAGUUCCUUGGAACAGGACGUCACAGAGGGUGAGAAUCCCGUACGUGGUCGCUGGCCUUCGCCGUGUAAAGCCCCUUCGACGAGUCGAGUUGUUUGGGAAUGCAGCUCUAAAUGGGAGGUAAAUUUCUUCUAAAGCUAAAUACUGGCCAGAGACCGAUAGCGCACAAGUAGAGUGAUCGAAAGAUGAAAAGCACUUUGGAAAGAGAGUCAAAUAGCACGUGAAAUUGUUGAAAGGGAAGCGCUUGCAGCCAGACUUGCCUGUAGUUGCUCAUCCGGGCUUUUGCCCGGUGCACUCUUCUGCGGGCAGGCCAGCAUCAGUCUGGGCGGUUGGAUAAAGGCCUCUGUCAUGUACCUCCUUUCGGGGAGGCCUUAUAGGGGAGGCGACAUGCAACCAGCCUGGACUGAGGUCCGCGCAUCUGCUAGGAUGCUGGCGUAAUGGCUGUAAGCGGCCCGUCUUGAAACACGGACCAAGGAGUCUAACAUCUAUGCGAGUGUUUGGGUGUCAAGCCCGAACGCGUAAUGAAAGUGAACGGAGGUGGGAUCCCUUUAGGGUGCACCAUCGACCGAUCCUGAUGUCUUCGGAUGGAUUUGAGUAAGAGCAUGGCUGUUGGGACCCGAAAGAUGGUGAACUAUGCUUGAAUAGGGUGAAGCCAGAGGAAACUCUGGUGGAGGCUCGCAGCGGUUCUGACGUGCAAAUCGAUCGUCAAAUUUGGGCAUAGGGCCGAAAAGACUUAAUCG
rnacentral:rRNA from 1 species